rnacentral:rRNA from 1 species
CCUACGGGAGGCAGCAGUGGGGAAUAUUGCUCAAUGGGGGAAACCCUGAAGCAGCAACGCCGCGUGAGGGAUGAAGGUUUUCGGAUUGUAAACUCCUUUUGUUAGGGAAGAUAAUGACGGUAUCUGACGAAUAAGCACCGGCUAACUCCGUGCCAGCAGCCGCGGUAAUACGGAGGGUGCAAGCGUUACUCGGAAUCACUGGGCGUAAAGAGCGCGUAGGCGGGAUAGCAAGUCAGAUGUGAAAUCCUAUGGCUUAACCAUAGAACUGCAUUUGAAACUGUUAUUCUAGAGUAGGGGAGAGGUAGGUGGAAUGCUUGGUGUAGGGGUAAAAUGCGUAGAGAGCAAGAGGAAUACUGAUUGCGAAGGCGACCUGCUAGAACAUAACUGACGCUGAGGCGCGAAAGCGUGGGGAGCAAACAGGAUUAGAUACCCGAGUAGUC